AUGCACGCUGGCGGCGUGCCUAAUACCUGCCAGUCGAGCGAACAGACGAGGAGCUUGCUCCUCUGACGUUAGCGGCGGACGGGUGAGUAACACGUGGAUAACCUACCUAUAAGACUGGGAUAACUUCGGGAAACCGGAGCUAAUACCGGAUAAUAUAUUGAACCGCAUGGUUCAAUAGUGAAAGACGGUUUUGCUGUCACUUAUAGAUGGAUCCGCGCCGCAUUAGCUAGUUGGUAAGGUAACGGCUUACCAAGGCAACGAUGCGUAGCCGACCUGAGAGGGUGAUCGGCCACACUGGAACUGAGACACGGUCCAGACUCCUACGUGAGGCAGCAGUAGGGAAUCUUCCGCAAUGGGCGAAAGCCUGACGGAGCAACGCCGCGUGAGUGAUGAAGGUCUUCGGAUCGUAAAACUCUGUUAUUAGGGAAGAACAAAUGUGUAAGUAACUAUGCACGUCUUGACGGUACCUAAUCAGAAAGCCACGGCUAACUACGUG
rnacentral:rRNA from 1 species